rnacentral:rRNA from 1 species
UUAUCAGUUGGUAGUUGGCACGCGAGGACCAGGGUAAUGAUAAUAGGGAUAGUUGGCGGCAUUAAUAGCUUAAUUGUCAGAGGUGAAAUUCUUGGAUUAUGAUAGAUUACUUCUGCGAGAGCAUCUGCCAAGGAUGUUUUCAUGAAUCAAGAACGAAGUUAGGGGAUCGAAGACGAUCAGAUACCGUCGUAGUCUUAACCAUAAACGAUGCCGACCAGCGAUUAGGAGACGUUGAAUACAAAACACCACCAUCGGUGCGGCGUCCUUGGCGCGUCGCA